CCACAUGAUGACACGACACAAUUGUUAUAUUUUGGCACCUCUUAUGUUAGGCUUCCUUCGGGAGGCCAAUGAAUUAACUGGACUUCUGAUC
rfam:Trichoderma virens Gv29-8 TRIVIscaffold_92, whole genome shotgun sequence.